rnacentral:rRNA from 1 species
GGGGGGGGGCAAGCGUUGUUCGGAAUUACUGGGCGUAAAGGGCGCGCAGGCGGCGGGAAAGUCUCUCGUGAAAUCCCACGGGCUCAACCGUGGAAUUGCGGGAGAUACUACUCGUCUUGAGUUCCGGGAGAGGAGUGUGGAAUUCCCAGUGUAGCGGUGAAAUGCGUAGAUAUUGGGAGGAACACCGGUGGCGAAGGCGGCACUCUGGACCGAUACUGACGCUGAGGCGCGAAAGCUAGGGGAGCAAACGGGAUUAGAUACCCCCGGUAGUCCUAGCUGUAAACGCUGAGCACUUGGUGUAGCGGGUAUCGACCCCUGCUGUGCCGAAGCUAACGCAUUAAGUGCUCCGCCUGGGGAGUACGGUCGCAAAGGCUG